GACGAACGCUGGCGGCGUGCUUAACACAUGCAAGUCGAACGGAAAGGCCCUGCUUUUGUGGGGUGCUCGAGUGGCGAACGGGUGAGUAACACGUGAGUAACCUGCCCUUGACUUUGGGAUAACUUCAGGAAACUGGGGCUAAUACCGGAUAGGAGCUCCUGCUGCGGGGGGGGGGUUGGAAAGUUUCGGCGGUUGGGGCUGGAUUCGCGGCUUAUCAGCUUGUUGGUGGGGUAGUUGCUUACCAAGGCUUUGACGGGUAGCCGGCCUGAGAGGGGGAACGGCCACAUUGCGCCUGCGGUACGGACCAGACUCCUACGGGAGGCAGCAGUGGGGAAUAUUGCACAAUGGGCGGAAGCCUGAUACAGAGACCCCCCGUGCGGGAUGACGGCCUUCGGGUUGUAAACCGCUUUCGCCUGUGACGAAGCGUGAUUGACGGUAAUGGGUAAAGAAGCACCGGCUAACUACGUG
rnacentral:rRNA from 1 species